GACGAACGCUGGCGGCGUGGAUUAGGCAUGCAAGUCGAACGGUAUCAUCCUUUCGGGGGUGAGAGAGUGGCGAACUGGUGAGUAACACGUAGGUUAUCUACCCUCAAGACGGGGACGAACCCAGGGAAACUUGGGCUAAUACCGGAUGUGAGCAACUUUUAGUUGUUUGAAAGGUGGCGUAAGCUGUCGCUUGGGGAUGAGCCUGCGUCCUAUUAGUUAGUUGGUGAGGUAACGGCUCACCUAGGCAAUGAUAGGUAGGCGGCCUUAACGGGUGGUCGCCCACACUGGGAUUGAGAUACGGCCCAGACUCCUACGGGAGGCAGCAGUUCGAGAAUAGUCUACAAUGGUCGGAAGACUGAUAGUGCGACGCCGCGUGAACGAUGAAUCCCUUCGGGGUGUAAAGUUCUUUUAUAUGUGAGCAGUGCUUCUUAUAUUAACAGUAUGGGGAGGGAGAUAUUAGCAUAUGAAUAAGCAACGGCUAACUCCGUGCCAGCAGCCGCGGUAAUCUCGU
rnacentral:rRNA from 1 species